CACGUAGGGACCAAGCGUUGUCCGGAUUCAUUGGGCGUAAAGAGCUCGUAGGCGGUUCGAUAAGUCGGGUGUGAAACCUCCAGGCUCAACCUGGAGACGCCACCCGAUACUGUCGUGACUAGAGUCCAGUAGGGGAGCGUGGAAUUCCUGGUGUAGCGGUGAAAUGCGCAGAUAUCGGGAGGAACACCGGUGGCGAAGGCGGUUCUCUGGGCCUGUACUGACGCUGAGGAGCGAAAGCGUGGGGAGCGAACAGG
rnacentral:rRNA from 1 species